GAUGAACGCUGGCGGCGUGCUUAACACAUGCAAGUCGAACGAGAAGUGGAGACGGAAACCUUCGGGCGGAAGACUUUACUUCGAGUGGCGGACGGGUGAGUAACGCGUGGGUAACCUGCCUCAUACAGGGGGAUAACAGUUGGAAACGACUGUUAAUACCGCAUAAGACCACAGCACCGCAUGGUGCGGGGGUAAAAACUCCGGUGGUAUGAGAUGGACCCGCGUUCGAUUAGCCAGUUGGCGGGGUAACGGCCCACCAAAGCGACGAUCGAUAGCCGAUCUGAGAGGAUGACCGGCCACAUUGGGACUGAGACACGGCCGAAACUCCUACGGGAAGCAGCAGUGGGGAAUAUUGCACAAUGGGGGAAACCCUGAUGCAGCGACGCCGCGUGAGUGAAGAAGUAUUGCGGUAUGUAAAGCUCUAUCAGCAGGGAAGAAAAUGACAGUACCUGAGUAAGAAGCCCCGGCUAACUACGUG
rnacentral:rRNA from 1 species